rnacentral:rRNA from 1 species
UACGGGGGGGGCAAGCGUUGUUCGGAAUUACUGGGCGUAAAGGGCUCGUAGGCGGCCAACUAAGUCAGACGUGAAAUCCCUCGGCUUAACCGGGGAACUGCGUCUGAUACUGGAUAGCUAGAGGUUGGGAGAGGGAUGCGGAAUUCCGGGUGUAGCGGUGAAAUGCGUAGAUAUCUGGAGGAACACCGGUGGCGAAGGCGGCAUCCUGGACCAAUUCUGACGCUGAGUGAGCGAAAGCCAGGGGAGCAAACGGG